GCUCAGUUACAUAGCUUAGUCGGUAGAGCAUGAGACUCUUAAUCUCAGGACCGUGGGUUUGAGCCCCACAUUGGGCA
rnacentral:tRNA from 1 species